UGCCCCUCUUCCUCUUGAAGAUUUACUUAUAUCUUAUGGAUUUUACCCCUUCAGUGGGUCAACUAAUGAUCCAUACAUCAUUGACCUUCAUGGACUUCAUUUUGGACUUCAUGACUUCAAGUCACUUAUUAGAGUCAGAUCUCUGCAUUGCAUCCAUGUUGGUGAUCGGAUCCUCAGUGUUCUCAUCAAGUUCUAUAGG
rnacentral:lncRNA from 1 species